rnacentral:lncRNA from 10 species
AUACAGUGAGUGCUGCCAACAUCUGGCAUACUAGAAUUGAUCUACUGGGCACUGCAGCCUAGUGGCUAAAAGUCCUGCCACUUACUAACCAUGGGACCUUGGACAUGUUCUUCAACUGCUGUGUGUUAUGAGGAUUAAAUGAUUUAAUCCAUAAAAAAUGCUUGAAGAAUGCCAACAUGCACAAUGUUGCUCCAACAGCCAAGUUAUGAUCUUGGAAGAGUUUGCUGUCCAGUGACUUCCUGAUGGCAUUCAAGGUUGGCAUAGAACGCUACCUGGCCCAUGGGUUACUCGCCAUCUAAAACCAAAAAUCAGGACAUAUUUAUAUCUUAUUGCUAUGUCCAAAGGUUGAUUUUUCUUCACUUGGUGAGCAUCUUCUGUUUGGCAUUUCCACAUGUAAUAAGUUAAGAACUGAUUUGAGAAGAUAUCCAAAAAAUGCAAUUGUAUAAAUCCAAAUAAAAAAUUUAAAUAAUCAUCCCAA